GCCAUCGUCCAUACCAUUCUGAAUACGCCGGUUCUCGUGCGAUCAAGAAAGCUAAGCAGCAUUGGGCCAGGUGAGUACUUGGGAGGGGGACCACCUGGGAAUAUAGAGUGCCAAGAGCC
rnacentral:rRNA from 1 species